rnacentral:rRNA from 1 species
AUUGAACGCUGGCGGCAUGCCUUACACAUGCAAGUCGAACGGCAGCACGGGAGCAAUCCUGGUGGCGAGUGGCGAACGGGUGAGUAAUAUAUCGGAACGUGCCCAGUCGUGGGGAUAACGUAGAGAAAUUUACGCUAAUACCGCAUACGAUCUAAGGAUGAAAGCGGGGGAUUCGCAAGAACCUCGCGCGAUUGGAGCGGCUGAUAUCAGAUUAGGUUGUUGGUGAGGUAAAGCUCACCAAGCCGACGAUCUGUAGCUGGUUUGAGAGAACGACCAGCCACACUGGGACUGAGACACGGCCCAGACUCCUACGGGAGGCCAGCAGUGGGGAAUUUUGGACAAUGGGCGCAAGCCUGAUCCAGCAAUGCCGCGUGCAGGAUGAAGGCCUU